CUACUAGUCAUAUGGAUUCCUACGGGAGGCAGCAGCUAGGAAUCUUGGGAAUGGGCGAAAGCCUGACCCAGCAACGCCGCGUGGGGGAUGAAGGCCUUCGGGUCGUAAACCACUGUCGGGAGGGACGCUUUGGCUAAUAUCCAAAGCCUUGACGGUACCAGCAGAAUAAGCACCGGCUAACGGUAAUACAGAGGGUGCAAGCGUUGUUCGGAUUCAUUGGGCGUAAAGGGUGCGUAGGCGGUGCCGUAAGUCGGAUGUGAAAUCCCGGAGCUCAACUUCGGAACUGCAUUCGAUACUGCGGUGCUCGAGGACUGGAGAGGAGAUCGGAAUUCAUGGUGUAGCAGUGAAAUGCGUAGAUAUCAUGAGGAAGACCAGUGGCGAAGGCGGAUCUCUGGACAGUUCCUGACGCUGAGGCACGAAGGCUAGGGGAGCGAACGGGAUUAGAUACCCCGGUAGUCCUAGCAGUAAACGGUGCACGUUUGGUGUGGGAGGAUUCGACCCCUUCCGUGCCGGAGCUAACGCGUUAAGCGUGCCGCCUGGGGAGUACGAUCGCAAGAUUAAAACUCAAAGAAAUUGACGGGGGCCCGCACAAGCGGUGGAGUAUGUGGCUUAAUUCGAUGCAACGCGAAGAACCUUACCUGGCCUUGACAUGCAUCUCUAAGCGGGUGAAAGCCCGUGACUGUAGCAAUACAGAAUUUGCGCAGGUGCUGCAUGGCUGUCGUCAGCUCGUGUCGUGAGAUGUUGGGUUAAGUCCCGCAACGAGCGCAACCCUCGCCCUUAGUUGCCAGCAUUCAGUUGGGCACUCUAAGGGGACUGCCGGUGAUAAGCCGAGAGGAAGGUGGGGAUGACGUCAAGUCCUCAUGGCCCUUACGGGCUGGGCUACACACGUGCUACAAUGGUGGUGACAGUGGGCAGCGAGACAGCGAUGUCGAGCUAAUCUCCAAAAGCCAUCUCAGUUCGGAUUGCACUCUGCAACUCGAGUGCAUGAAGUUGGAAUCGCUAGUAAUCGCGGAUCAGAACGCCGCGGUGAAUACGUUCCCGGGCCUUGUACACACCGCCAUCG
rnacentral:rRNA from 1 species